UGAAGAGCAAUGCAUUUUUGU
rnacentral:piRNA from 1 species